ensembl:lncRNA
CUUCAGGACUAUGUGAAAUGUAUAUUUAAAGGGGAUAAGACUGGAGUCAGAAAAACUGCUGUAUCACUUCAUCUUACUGAUAUGGGCUUGAAGUAUGCCAACGUAAAUGAAAAAAUGCUGAUUUCAAAAAUUACAGGGAAAAUACACAAACCAUAUUAACUGAUUAGUAUGAGGAGAAUAUACCAAAGGAGGUGUGUCUCACCAUUUUUGAAAUUGAAUGAUGUGCACGGUGAUGGUACACAGAGAUUAGCAGUAAAGGAGCUCCCAACAAACUAGGAAUAGAAAGGAAUUUCCUCAACUUUAAAAAGAACAUCUACAAAAAACUUACAGCUGAUGCCUGGAGGAGGGGGCACCCCACUUGCAUCUGUGGCCGCAUCUGCCUAUGGGAUAGCUCCUGGGAGUGUUAUCUCCAGCUACACUUUGACCUCCUCAACCUCCACAACCUCUACAGUGCAUUGUCCAGGUCGUCUGGGUCUGAAAAGCCAGGUAUAAGCUGUAGCGGUAUCCCAGUGCUGCGCCGCCACCCUUCCUUGCUGAGCAUGGUUCUGGAGGUGCUGGAGGUGCUGGAGACUGGAGAGCAGCUCUAGGGCACCUCGGUGGUGGCCAUCAAUAUUUACAUCCUGUAGAACUACCCGACGGUGGGCGGCCUCCAGCUCAAGUACUUGCUGAAGCAGGCUCUGGCCACAGACAUGCAUCGCAGCCUCCUUUUCAGGUACAUUAACUCCAAGGCCAAGGGGGCCACCAGAAGCUUCAAAUUAGUUCCCAAGCAAAAGGAAAACAAAAGGAAAAUCCAACCCAGGAAGACAUCCACUGUGACGGCCCCAGGAGAUCCAGUGAGGCCAAUGAGGAGAGCCCCAAGAAACCAAGCAAGGCAAAGAAGGACACUCCCAAUGCAAGCAAGGUGUAAAAGGGACCCAGGAGGCUAAGAGAGGUGAGGACAACUCCCUCUAAACCAAGUGCAGCUGAAGAGAAGGCCUCUAACAAUGGCUGCCAGACCAAGGACCAAGAGGCAAGACUGUGCAAGGCCAGGAAGGGCCUCAGACAGCCAGACACAGCCCCUCUCAAUGCCAGCGGCUAGGCAGGAGGUCAAAGGUCAAAAGCAGAAAGAGCACCCAAGCAGAUGCCGAGGCCCACAGGAAAACAAAAGCUGAGAGUCAGAGUUCAUUUCUCAGGGCCACCAAGGGCGAGAAUGAUGCUGCUUCCCUAGCCAAAAAGAAGGAAAGAAAAAACCCAAAAACUUACAGCUAAGAUCAUAUUUAGUUCUGAGAAACUAGAAGCUUUCUCACUAAGAUCAGGAGCAAGACAAGUGUGUCCCCCCCUCACUACACCUUUUCAACAUCCUAUUUCAAGUCUUAUCUAAUGCAAUAGACAAGACAAGGAAAUAAAAGUGUUAUGGGCUUUUUGGAGUUAUUUCUUCCAAAACUCAUAUGUUGAAGUCCUAGUAUUUCAGUUUGUGGCUAUAUUUGGAGAGAGAACCUUCAAAGAAGUAAUUAAAUAAGGCUGUUAGGGUGGGCUCUAAUACAAUCUGACUGGUGUGUUUAUGAGGAGAGGAGAUUAUGACACACAGAGAGACACCAGGGGUGCAUGUACACUGAAAGACGACCAUGUGAAGAAGGAGCAAGAGGGUGGCCAUCUGUAAGACAAGGAAAGAGGCCUCAGGGGAAACCAAGUUGCUGACACCUUGAUUGUUAGACUUCUAGACUCUAGAACUGUGUUGUUCUAGAUUUGUUGUUAAAGCCACCCAGUCUGUGAUAUUUUGUUAUGGUGGCUCUAGAAAACUAAUGCAAAAAGGUAACAAGAAAGGGAAGGAAGAAAAAACUCUCUUUGGUCACAGAUGACAUGAUUGCCUAUGUAGAAAGUCAGCAAGAAUUUACAAAAAAUCUCCUGAAACUAAUAAGAGAUUAUAGGAAGAUUGCAGGACACUUGGUUAAUAUAUAAGAUAUAGUGGCCUUUCCUUUGGUUUUCUGGCAUUUCCAAGUUUGUGGUAAAAGUUUCAAUAUGAAUUUUUUCUCCAGUCUGCCGUGGGGCAGACAUCACACUUGUGCAACCUUGACCAGAGUAAAUUAUUUUCCACACCAGGUUAAUAUACAAGAGUCAACUGUUUCCCAUACUAGCAAUGAACAAGUGGACUUUAAGGUUAAAAACAAAAUGCCAUUUAUAUUAGCAUCUCCCCCAAAUGAAAUGCUUAUGAAUAAAUCUUUCAAAAUACGUACAAGAUCUAUGGGAGGAGAACUAUAAAACUCUAGUGGAAGAAAUCAAAGAACCUAAAUAAAUGGAGAGAUAUUCCAUGUUCAUCGAGAGGAAGACUCAAUAUUAUCAAGAUGUCAGUUCUUCCCAACUUGAUCUAUACAGCCAAUGCAAUCCUAGACAAAAUCCCCCAUGUAAGUUAUUAGGUAGAUAUCGACAAACUUUGGAUAUUGAAUCUAAACUUUAUUGAUAGAGACAAGAGACCCAGAAUAGCCAACAUGUUAUUGAAGGAGAAGAACAGAAUCAGAGCACUGACACUACACAAAUUCAAGACUGACUAUAGCUACAGUCUUCAAGAUGUGUGAUAUUGGUGAAGGAAUUCAACAGAUUAAUGGAAUAGAAUGGAGAGACUAGAAAUAGAGCCACAUAAAUUUAGUCAACUUAUGUUUGACAAAGAGUAAAGGUAAUACAAUGGAGAAAAGACAACCUUUUCAACAAAUGGCAUUGGAACAACUGGACAUCCACAUGCAAAAAUGUGAACCUAGAGAUAAACUGUACACUAUUCACAAAAAUUAAUUCAAAUGGAUCAUAGCCUUGAGUGUAAAACACAAAAGUUUGAAACUCCUAGAAGAUAUCAUAGAAGAAAUCAAGAGGACCAUGCAUAUGGCAAUGCCUUUUUAGGUAAAACACCAAAGGCACGAUCCAUAAAAGACAUAAUUGAUAAGUUGGACUUCACUAAAAUUAAAAACUUCUGCUCUGUGAAAGACAUUGUCAAAGAAUAAGAAAAGACACAAGCUGGGGAAAAAUGUUUGCAGAAGACAUUUGCAAACCUCUGAUAAACAAUAUCUGAUAUCUGAUAUCAGAUCUGAUAAACUAUCCAAAAUAUGCAAAGAACUCUGAAUACUCAACUACAAGAAAAAAAACAAGCUGAUUGAAAAAUGGACCAAAGACCUUAACAGACACCUUACCAAAGAGAUUAUACAUGUGACACAUAAACAAAUGCAAAGAUGUUCCACAUCAUCUGCCAUCAGUAAAUGCAAAUUAAAACAACGAGCUACCACUACAGACCUAGCAGAAUGGCCAAAAUCCAGAACACUGACAACAUCAAAUAUUGGUGAGCAUGUGGAGAAACAGGAACUCUUACACAUUGCGGGCGGGAAUUGCAAAAUAGUCACUUUGGAAGACAAUUGGCAGUUUCUUACAAAACUAAACAUUCUUACUAUACGAUCUAGCAAUUAUGCUGCUUGGUAUUUACUCAAAGGAACUGAAAACUUAUGUCCACACAAAAACCAGCACACAGAUGUUUAUAGCAUCUUUAAUCAUAAUUGCUAAAAUUUGGAAGCAACUAAGAUUUCCUUCAAUGAGUGACUGGAUAAAUAAACCAUGGUACAUCCAGACAAUGGAAUAUUUUCAACACUAGAAAGAAAUUAGCUAUCAACCUGUGACAAGACAUGAAGGAACCGUAAAUGCAUGUUACUAAGUGAAAGAAGCCAAUCUGAAAAGCCUACCUAUCGUAUGAUUCCAACUUUAUGACAUUCUGGAAAAGGUAAAACUAUAGAGACAGGAAAAAGAUCAGUG